UUCACCAAAUUUUCCCUGUGAGAUAGAGACCCAACUGCACAUGGAAACUCAUUUUCCUACCAAAGUGCACUUUGCUGUUGUGUUGUGACUACAAAGAGCAUAAUUUGAGGCUUAUACAAUGCAGGAGCUCGAACCUUUCCCAGCAUCUCUUACAAAUUUGUUGAUGUCAGAGAUGUGGCACAUGCACAUAUUCUUGCUCUUGAAAAUCCUUCAGCUUGCGGCAGAUAUUGUAUGGUUGGAGAAGCCAUACAUUGUCAUGGCGUUUUGGAGAUCCUGCACAACUUUUAUCCUACACUGCACAUCCCUGAAAAAUGUGAAAAUGACGAACCAUUCGAGUUGGCUCCUCGCGUGUCAAGGCAACAGAUUGAAGGUCUGGGUGUGAAGUUCAUUCCUUUGGAGGUCAGCCUAAGAGACACUGUGGAAAGCCUCAAGGAGAAAGGCUUCCUCUCUGUCUGAGCUUCCUGACAAGCGACAAGGAAAACCCUAUACUUCACCGGCAUAUAUACAGUUUCCAUGAACUUAUAGUCAUAAUAAGCUUCCGGUAAAAUUUAAUGCUUCCCUCUUAUUAGACUCCAUCGAAGCAUGCAUGAUGUCUUAUAGUCACUUGCUCAGUGUAAGUUUGCAGAUUCUAAACUUGAAAGUUGAUGAACAUUGUCUGUUGAAGCAAUUUUCUGCUUUU